UUAAAAAUAAUUUUAAAAGGACGCAGCUGUGCGUUUGAGAAACGACCGGAAACGACUUAUAUGUCGCGAGGCCAUCACGUGACCACAAUAUUUACCAGAAGACCGUUAUUUGCUCGAGUACCCUCAACUUUUUUGUCGCAAAUAACAUUAUUAAUAACCUGUAAAUAAUAAAUUUUGUACACAUUACGUUCCUCUUCACUUUGUAAUAGUAUGUUUUUUGGUUUAAUAGUCGGCUUUAAGUUAGUUUUUCUGUCAGUUUGAUCGUCAAAAUCUUGAAAGUUAUCUGCAGCCACACAUCCACUGUAUACCAAGUUAUGAUGAACAAUUAUGAAAAUGCAAAAGGAUUGAUAGAUCAGUAAACAAGCAACAAAAAGAUGGGUGCUCAUGGUGGCCUCCAAAUAAAUACAUGGACAGGCUGCUAAAGAGGGUCAGGAUGAUGGAGAUGCAAGAGCCAAAGACAGCACAGACCAAACACCAGGCCAGAAUUCUGCAUGAGUCAGCUAGCAGGGGCUGCGUCAGACAGAGUUACAGCACACACGGAGAUGAGAAUGGUAUGUAUGGACUUAUCUAACUCUGUUUGUUUAUUUGUAAAUGUAAAAAAUGCAGCUAACCAUUCCCAGCUCCAGUGGGCAGGUUAAAGAGUAUUUCUUAAUAUGAGACAGAAAACAGAAACACAUUUUUAAUGGCAUUUAAAGACAACAUACCACUUCAUACAACUAAAUUUUCUGUUUAAUCCAUAGAUUGAGUAAUUUUCACUCUAGAGACCCUUGGGUGACCACCAAGGACGAAUGCAAACUCCAGUGAGUGUCUCUAAGGUAGAUCCUAAUGCAGAUGGAUGGAAUGUUGAUCCGCCUAACAUGCAAGCUACAGAGGGCAUCCUUUAUUCAGUCCCUAAUGCAGAUGGUUGGAGUGUUGAUCUACCUAACAUGAGGGGUAAAAGAGUGUUUGUUAGCAUAAUGAGAAAGAAAACAGAAACACAUUAUUAGUGGCAUUUAAAAACAUAACACUUGUUUAUACUACAUUUUAUGUUCAAUCCAUAGAGCACUCGUUUUGAGUCCUGAGACCCUGGGGUGACCACCGUGAACAAAUACAGAAGCACUCAAUUUGAGUCCUGAGACCCUGGGGUGACCACCGUGAACAAAUACAGACUGCAAUAGCAGUCUUGACGGUACUAGGAUGAAUGCAAAUAAAGACUAACCACCUGACAUCAGCUGUCCAGUCUCUUGUGGGAAGCAGGUGCUUGUUACCCCAAAUACGGAUGAAGAGUGACGAAGAGGAUGAUGACUUU